CUGCCAACAUGGCGGCGCCCGUGGUGACUGUCUGGGCCGUGUUCGUCUAAGGUGGGAACCGAGGCGUAAGGAGCCGCAGGCCAGAGCCUAGGAGCAGUUAAACCCCUGAGCCGGGCUCAUAGGGGCAAGAUACGAGGCCUGAUCUCCCCUCCCGGAUUGGUAGAUUUCGACUUGCCGGGAGCCGGAAGGGCCUUCCCUCCUUUUGAAGAAUGGCUCCUUCUUGGCAGAGGCUGAGUUUAUAUGCCUCUCUUCUGAAAAGGCAGCUAAAUGAUGGUCCAGAUGUCAUCAAAUGGGGAAGGAGAGUGAUUCCAGGAUGUUCCAGAGGUAUUUACAGUGCCACGGGAAAGUGGACCAAGGAGUAUACGCUGCAGACAAGAAAGGAUGUGGAGAAAUGGUGGCAUCAACGAAUAAAAGAACAGUCCUCCAAAAUUUCAGAAGCUGAUAAAUCAAAGCCCAAGUUUUACGUGCUUUCCAUGUUCCCUUAUCCUUCCGGCAAGCUGCACAUGGGCCACGUGCGUGUGUACACCAUCAGCGACACCAUUGCACGCUUCCAGAAGAUGAGAGGGAUGCAGGUUAUCAAUCCCAUGGGAUGGGAUGCAUUUGGAUUGCCUGCCGAAAAUGCUGCGAUCAAGAGGAAUCUACAUCCAGAAAGUUGGACACAGAGUAAUAUCAGACACAUGAGGAAACAACUUGAUCGACUGGGCCUGUGUUUCAGCUGGGAUAGGGAAAUAACCACGUGUUUACCAGAUUACUACAAAUGGACUCAGUAUCUCUUUAUUAAACUCUAUGAAGCUGGACUGGCCUAUCAAAAAGAGGCCUUGGUUAACUGGGACCCAGUGGAUCAAACAGUGCUUGCCAAUGAGCAGGUGGAUGAACGUGGCUGUUCGUGGCGUUCUGGAGCAAAGGUGGAACAGAAGUACCUCAGACAGUGGUUUAUUAAGACAACUGCUUAUGCAAAGCCCAUGCAGGACGCGCUGGCAGACCUUCCGGAAUGGUAUGGAAUAAAAGGCAUGCAGGCCCACUGGAUCGGGGACUGUGUGGGCUGCCAUUUGGACUUCACAUUAAAGGUUGAUGGGCAAGUCACAGGAGAAAAGCUGAGCGCCUACACGGCCACCCCCGAGGCCAUUUACGGCACCUCCCACGUGACCAUCUCUCCCAGCCACAGACUCUUACAUGGGCACAGCUCUCUGAAGGAAGCCUUUCGGAAGUCUCUCAUCCCUGGCAAAGAUUGCCUCACGCCCGUGACGGCUGUGAACAUGCUCACCCAGCAGGAAGUCCCUGUUGUCAUCUUGGCCAAAGCUGACUUUGAGGGCUCUCUGGAUGCAAAAAUAGGAAUUCCCAGCACCAGCUUAGAGGACACUGUCUUAGCCCAAACCCUGGGCCUGUCGUACUCUGAAGUCAUUGAAACCAUGCCAGAUGGCACAGAGAGACUGAGAAGCUCUGCGGAGUUCACAGGUAUGAACCGGCCGGAUGCAUUUCUAGCGCUGACUCAGAAAGCCCGGAGGAAGAGAGUGGGCGGAGAGGUGACCAGUGUUAAACUGAAGGACUGGCUGAUCUCUAGGCAGCGGUACUGGGGCACACCCAUCCCCAUGGUCCACUGCCCGGCCUGCGGUCCUGUGCCUGUGCCUCUGGAGGACUUGCCUGUGACCUUGCCCAGCAUCACCUCUUUCACUGGCAAGGGAGGCUCCCCACUGGCCUCGGCUUCGGAGUGGGUGAACUGCUCCUGCCCUAGGUGCAAGGGAGCAGCCACGAGAGAGACAGACACGAUGGAUACCUUUGUUGAUUCUGCUUGGUACUACUUCAGAUAUACCGACCCUCAGAAUACUCAGAGCCCUUUCAGCACAGCGUUGGCAGAUUACUGGAUGCCUGUGGAUUUGUACAUUGGAGGGAAAGAACAUGCUGUCAUGCACUUGUUCUAUGCAAGAUUCUUUAGUCAUUUUUGCCAUGAUCAAAAAAUGGUCAAACACAGAGAGCCUUUUCAUAAACUGCUGGCCCAAGGCCUUGUCAAGGGGCAGACAUUCCGCCUACCAUCUGGACAGUAUCUACAGCGAGAGGAAGUAGAUCUCACAGGUUCUGUUCCUGUUCAUGCAAACACGAGGGAGAAGUUGGAGGUGACUUGGGAGAAGAUGAGCAAAUCCAAGCACAAUGGCGUGGACCCCGAGGACGUCGUGGAGCAGUACGGCAUUGACACCAUCCGGCUCUACAUCCUUUUCGCCGCCCCUUCUGAGAAGGAUAUCUUGUGGGAUGUAAAGACCGACGCUCUCCCUGGGGUGCUGAGAUGGCAGCAGCGUCUCUGGUCCUUGGCAACUCGAUUUAUCGAGGCCAGGGUUUCUGGGAAGGUUCCCAGGCCUCAGCUGUUGAGUAACGAGGAGAAAGCCGAGGGCAGGAAGCUGUGGGAGUACAAGAACUCCAUCAUCUCUCAGGUGACUGCCCAUUUCACAGAGGACUUCUCCCUGAAUUCUGCGAUUUCUCAACUGAUGGGACUCAGCAAUGCCCUCUUGCAAGCUUCUCAGAGAGUUGUUCUCCACAGCCCUGAGUUUGAGGAUGCUCUCUGCGCCCUGAUGGUGAUGGCUGCUCCCAUGGCCCCUCUCAUAACCUCGGAGCUCUGGGCAGGCCUGGCGCUGGUGCCGAGGAAGCUGUGUACUCACUACGCCUGGGACACCAGUGUGUUGCUUCAAGCCUGGCCAGCUGUGGACCCGCAGUUCCUCCAGCAGCCCGAUGUCGUACAGAUGGCAGUUCUGAUCAACAACAAAGCCUGCGGCAAAAUCCCUGUGCCCCAACAAGUUGCCCAGGACCAGGACAAAGUCCACGAACUGGUUCUCCAAAGUGAACUGGGUGUCAGGCUCUUACAGGGGCGAAGCAUCAAGAAGGCCUUCCUCUCCCCCCGAACCGCCCUCAUCAACUUCCUGGUGCAGGAGUGACUGCAGGGAUGCUGCGGCUACCGCGAGGGCUUGAGGCACCUCCUCCAGCUUAACCGAGAUGAAUUUGGUAACAACCAAAACACAAUGAAGUAGAGCUGGGAAAGACUAGGACCAGAAGGGAAGGCAGGGGCCGGAACUCUGGAGCAAAUAUUUAAGACGUUCCUAGAGUUGACUUGAGUGUACACAAUCCAAUUCCAUGUACCAACAAACGUGGAUUAAAUAUAAGUGAACGGAUGAGGAUAUUUGGUACAAGGAGGUGAGUGUUUUUGCUUGAUUGUCUUGUUUAUUACAGAAGCGAGGUAAGUGGUCUUGAGUCUGUCAACAAGAUGAGUGUAAGGAAGCCCUUUGUCUGCACAUAAUCAGGCCAGAGCAAUGGUGAGUCCAGCCUCAAGGCCACUGGACUAACCAGCAUGUCUUUGCAGACCUUUUUCUCCAAGAGGAUAAAACUUUUAAAAACAAGAGCUCAUUGGUACUACUGAGAUGGUUGGUGUAAUGGAAAAAUUGAACAGAAAAAUCUGAUCCCUGGGGUGGGAAAUGAUCUCAGUCCUUUAUUAACUGCCUUGAUUAGGUCAAAAACUGGACUCAACAAGUUCACUUGCAUUAUGUCAUUUAAUUUCCACUAAAACCCUAGAGGGAAGGAAUUAUUCUCUCACAAAUAUGAAGAUACCCAGGUUCUGAGGUUCAGUAAUUUGCUCAGUUUCCACAGCUAAGUAGAAGAACCGAAUCCAAACCCAGGUCCUCUGGCCUCCAAAUCCCCUUAUGCCAUCCACUGUGUCUACCAGUCCCCUCACCUAAUUGCCCAUCUUGCUUGAAGUCAGGAAAAUUGAGAUGUUGGCUGGAAGCUUGGGGCUUACUAGGGAAGCCUCGUGACUGAAUGGAGUGGCCGUUAUUCUUGUUGCCUUUGCUGCCUUGGCUUAGGGUUUACUGAUUGAUGGCCUGAGGCUGCUGGGGGCAGAUGGCCCAGUUGUGUGAGCUAGAGGUUUGAGGCCACAUAAAGAAGUCCACCAGAAAUCCUUGCAAGCCACUCAUGGCCCACAGGCUUCUUGGCAGGCCAAUGCUCAGACAAGCUGGCCUCCAAACCAAAAGCUGAGGAUCCGAAGUUGGCUUUGGUUUUCAUUUCCAGGUGGUUUGAUUCCUGAACUGAGCCCAAGUCAGGGUUAUGAGGCCACUAGUGCACACGGACAUGCAGCAACAUGCCACUGGGCUGAUGACAUUUCUGCUGGGCCACAGUUGGCCAUUACUCAGGCCAAAGAGGGCGUGGUUCCUGCACCAGCUGCCCUGGCCUCCACCACCAGCUGCCCUCUUGGUGUUUCUCCCCCUAGGAGGGAAGGGAGGGAGGCACACAAGGCUACAGGGUCAUUCUGUGCACCAGGAACCGUGCAAGGGGUUUGCUGGUGCUCUUAAAUCCUCACAUCAGUGCUACAAAGUGGGAAUUAUGACCCACAUCCUAUAAAGAAGGAAACUGAAGCCUAGAAAAGUAUAGCAGAUUACCUACAUCCUGCCACUGAUAACUGCUCGAACCAGAAUUCAGCCCCAGUUCUGCCUUUCUGUUCACAGCUCAUGCUUUCUCUGCAGCCCCAGCCUGCCUUCCGGCAGGGAAGAAGUAAGAUGUCUUGGGAGGAAAUACAGCUCUUGUUCUUUCUGUCCCGGGAAUUCUGAACUGGAGCUCUGGCAUGUAUGUGGCCCCGCAGACUGGAGCCCCACACUCGUGAUUCACCUCCCCGCAGACCCUCCUUAACGAAGGGGGCUGGGCUUUUGUACCCUGAAUCCGUCCAUCACUGGCUGUGGGCCAACACCGGGUGGAGGGGGAUAGUUAGUAAUUUCCUGGGCAUCUUGGGAUGAAGGGACUCCCACUGGCUCAGGGAAGGUUUCCAAAGAGGAACACAGCUGAGCCGUCGGCAGCCAGCAUGCAUGGGAGCUGGGAACAGGCACCCCUGCUUGUGAGGAGGACCCGGGUGGAGCACCCAAGGCGACCACCACAAGGAGAGAAGGUGAGAGUCCUGAGAAGCAGUCCUGAGAAGCCUGAGAAACAGCGAGUCUGUGGGUGAGGAAACGCUCUGGACAGACGCAGAGUCACAAGAGAUGUGGAUGAACAUAGGAUGGAGUGAGGACAAGCUGAGCUGCCUUGGGCCUGCCUUGAUGCCCUGGGCUGGGUGGCUCUGGGCAGUGCUGCUGCAUUCAAGGCAGUGGGUGAGACCAAACCGGAAGGCGUCAUUCCCCCUUUUGCAGAUGACAAAACCAUGGCUCACACAGGCUGUGACUUGCUUAAGGUCCUACAGUAAGUGAUGGAGUAUCUUGACCCCCAUUCUGUGCUCAUUCCACUCAGGGGCCCCUGCCCCUACCCUGCAGGAAAAGCCUGGUGGUACCGCCAGGCAAAACAUAGCUCAGGAGGUAAAUAUUCUUAAUUGUGGAAACCAUCAGGGUAGACAAAAUGAGUAGAGUCUGUACUCCCGUUUCUUCCUGUGAGAAGAGCAAGCCGAAAACAUCUGUUUCAUGGGCUGAGUCCCUGUCUGAAGCUCAGAGGGUGGGCGGCCAAAGGCUCUCAUCCAAGCUGAUGAGUCUGGAGAUCGGAAUCUGGGGUGACCAACAAUGAGCAAGGAGGAAUCCCCCCAGGGUGGGUGGGCAGGCAGUGCUGGCAGGGAGGGGGCAGCCUGGAACGGCUGGGGAAGGGCCAGUCCUGUGGGCAGCAGCCUCGGAUCCAAGGGUGGGGCCAACAGCCGUCCAGAACAGUUGACCUCACUCCAGGCCUUCAUUGCAUCUGCCCACGUGAGGGAGCGGAUGCAGGGAUAACGAGGCCCUGCGGGGGUGGGGAGCCAGGCCUGCUGGAGUCACGCGCCUGGAACCCAACAGUCAUGACUCACCUCCAUGCGCCUCAAGCCCUGAACUUGAAUUCCAGUUCUUGUCUGGCUUCUGGAAGAGCAGGCCUGUGCCAGACACCCAGUGAUGCCUGAGAUGCCCCAAUAUCAGCAGCAAUAAUAACAUUUACCACUUACCGAGGACUAGUUAUGUGCCAGGCCCUGUUGUAAGAGCCUUACCACAGAAGGGGCCCAGUUCAAGACCACAUGAGAGGCUGGCAGAGCCGUGAUUCCGACCUACUCCACCACAUUGCUUCCCAAAGGCCUUGAUGCAAACCAGCCCUGAACCUCCUGGGUUUUCCAAGACAGCCCUAAUUUCUGGCUCUCAGAGUACCCUAGAACCUGCCAAGCCCACACUUCCUGAUCUGAGGACACCUGGGUGAGCACCUCCCUGGUGCCCAGGGAGAGGUCUGGGCUUUCUCUCUGAGCCUGGGACUGACCACUCCCAGGGAGCCCUCACCUUUGAGCCCCAUCAGUGAGACCUAGAAGUCAGGGGGUCCUCUUUGCUCUACUCCACAUACUGCGAGGAAAAUCCCAUGGAAGGCGAGACCGGGCCUGGGCCUGUGGGCACAGCGAGAGCUGCCUGGCCUCACAGCAGCCGGGCCGGUGUCUCCCCCAGAACAUCCUUUCCUCUGCCCACAGAAGAACCUCAUCUGGGAUUACUUAGGGGUGGUUCGCCCCAGCCCCCACUAAAGGUGGACUCGCCUGCCACACCUGCUGCAGCUGCACCCUCAUGGGCUGCCUCAGGACCAGGAGAAGAACCAGGCCUGGGCAGGGAUCCCCUUCCUCAGACACUGUGAGGUGAGGGGCGAGUGUCCAGUGGGUAUAGUGGACACGGGUCAACUGGGGAGGCGGGGCCACCCAAAAGGUACUAUUAUUCACUGAACCUGGAAUGUCAUUCAUCAGGGAAAAGGCAGCUCCCUUCCAGUAGAAACAGGGACAGGGUGGGCCAGUGGGGCUUUGCGAGGUGGGUUCCCCAGGGGGCUCGCUGUCAGUGAGCAGGACACAAGGCAGCCACCACGUGGAAAUAGGCUGAAAAGCCAGAUGUCACCAGGUAUCUCCAUGGUUAGUUGUCAACCUGUUAGUUAGCAGAUAACAUGUUAGCUUUCUAGUAAUAUCUUAACUGAUUUUUAUUAUGGCCUGAAUGUUUGUAGCCCCCUAAAAUUCAUAGGUUGAAAUUGUACUUCCAAAUGUAAUGAUACUAGCAGGUGGGGCUUUGGAGGUAACUAGGUGAGGUCAUGAGGGUGCAGCCCUCGUGGGUGGGAUUAGUGUCCUCAUGAGAGUCACAAGAGAGCUUGCUUCCUCUCUGCGUUCUGCCACGUGAGGACACAAGAAGUCAGCAGUCUGCAACCCGGAAGAGGGUUCUCACCAGAACUCGACCAAACUGGCACCCUGAUCUCAGACUUCAGCCUCCAGAGCUACGUGCUGUGAGGAGGUUAACAAGCAGGGCCCCACUUUACGGAUGGGCAGACUGAGGCUUGGAGCUGUCGGGGAACCUGCCUGAGGUUGCCAGCUGGUGAGUGUCUGGAGGUGGGUGCUGCUGGUUUCCGUUUCAUGAUCUGGGUGCUGAUGGCAGAGUUUAUGAGGAUUUGUUGAGCUGUACGCUUAAUGUGUAUGAGUUUUUGGAAUCUCUAUUUCCUCAAAUGUUCAUUUUUUUAAAGAAGUCUAUAUAAGCUACAAGGAUAUAUUGUACAACACAGGGAAUGCAGCCAAUAUUUUAUAAUAACUAUAUAUGGAGUAUGACCUUUAAAAAUUGUGAAUCACUGUAUUGUACACCUAUGACUUAUAAAAUAUUGUACAUCAACUAUACUUCAAGAAAAAUAAAAUCUAUAACACCAAGUGCUAAAAGCAAAAAAAGCCAGUCAUGACCUACCCAGCAGGACCCUGUGCCAUCCUCCCACAGCUCAGAGGUUCCACCGCCCGCCCUGCAGGAAUGGUGCCCACCAGGAUGCACGAGGUCAUGACCUCUGGUACACAGUGCUGAUCUUUCAGUGCAAAGAGCUGGAGGCCUCUCCCCACGCACUCUACCUAUGCCCCUCCUCCCCGCAGGAGCUCCGGGACAGAUUCCAGGUGAGGACAGAACACCAGGUCACCCGCGGGGUUGAGCUCCCCCGCAUCUGUUACUGCAGCCCCACAAGCUGCCAUAAACCUCUGAUCAGCCGUGCUUUGCUCUGUGCUGUGCUAAGCAAAGAGUACCUGGAAAUGAAUAAGAUGCCGUCUCCACAUGAUGGGUCCACUCCCUCCCGCCGCUGCCUCUCCACACUCCUCCGAGGUCACUCUGCUCCAGAAACACUGGCUUCUUUGCUGUUCCCAGGGCACACUGGGCACACUCCUGCCUCAACAUCUCAGACUUGGAGUCCCUCUACCAAGAAAGCCCCUCCCCAGAUCGCUCCUUCUCUCACCUCCUGCUGGUCUCUGUGCUCGUAAGGUCUUCCCUGACCAUCCUAUACCAAAUACCACCCCACCCCUAGCAUCCCCUACCCCCUAGCAAAUAAUGACACAGUUUGCAUAUUUAUCUUAUCAUUUGUCCCUCCUUCCAGAAGGUCAGCAUCGUGAGGGCAGGGACUCAUGCGGCCUUAUUUUAUUUAUUUACAGCAAUUUUAGUCUCUGUUGUGUCUCAGACCCAGAACACCAUCAGGCACACAGUAGGUGCUCAGUAAAUAUUUGCAUGAAUGAUUCUAGUCCUAAGUGGGCUCGGUGACCUUGAGCAAGUUGUUAAACCCAGCAGAGGUUUUUAUUUCCUUAAUUACAAAUUGAGGGAAUUCCCUGGCAUCCAGUGGUUAGGGCUCCGUGCUUCCACUGCAGGAGGCACGGAUUCGAUCCCUGAUCAGGGAACUAAGAUCCCACAUGCCAUAUGGCGAGGCCAAAAAAAAAAAAGUAUAACAAAAUUGACACAGUGAUGCCAGCUGGUGGGUGAGAUGGGCGUCCUGGAAGGGAAAUCUGGGGGAUAUUUUGUAAACUAGAAACUGUUGAGCAGCCCUAAGUAACAGUCUGGGGCUUUCUCUGCCAGGGGAGCAAAAGGGCAGCAACUGGAUGGUUUCCUGCUCUGUCUUUCAGUUAAGCCUUCAGUUCUGGCCUCUCUUGCCUGGGCUGCCCCAGAGUCAUUGUUAAACGUUAGUCAUGGGGCAUUAUUGGAGCACAUCAGCCUCUUGCAAAUAUUGUUUGUGUGUGUUUUAAAGUCUUGGUUGUCAAGAGCUGGGCUGACCCUAAGGACUGGAAGCCCUCAGGGGAGAGAGCUUCAAGUAAAGGCCACAGGGAGACAGUGAGAAGGCAGUGAGUUGCUGCUGGCGGAAGCGCUGUGGGUUUAUUUUUAAGGCUGGAAAGGAGAGGUGAGGGAGCAAAAUGUGAGGCAGUAAUAGGGGCCCAGCAGUCCUGGCCUGUUGCUGGAUAUUUCCCCUGAGGAAGGAAUGAAAAGGAACUAAGGUUUCUAUUUAUCAUAAGGCUGGGGCCAGAGCCCACGGGAGCCAGGCAGGGGAGAUGGGCGGGGGACAGCCAUAGACCAAAAAGAGCCUGUUGCUAUGCUGGUGGUUGUGGACGCUGGCUGUGGAUCACAAUGACCCUCUCUGGGGUGGGAGGGCAAAGCUGGGGCGAAGUGAGAGUAGCAUCGAAAUACACACUACCGAAUGUAAAAUAUUUGUCUGGUGGGAAGCAGAAGCAUAGCACAGGGUGAUCGGCUCGGUGCUUUGCGAUGAUUGAGAGGAGUGGGAUAGGGAGGAUGGGAGGGAGGCUCAAGAGGGAGGGGUUAUGGGGACAUGUGUAUGCAUAUGGCUGAUUCGAUUUGUUGUACAGCAGAAACUAACACAGUAUUGUGAAGCAAUUAUACUCCAAUAAAGAGCUAUUUUUUAAAAAAAACAUAACUAAUAAGGACCUACUGUAUAGCACAGGGAACUCUACUCAAUACUCUGUAAUGACCUAUAU